rnacentral:rRNA from 1 species
UACGGAGGGUGCAAGCGUUAAUCGGAAUUACUGGGCGUAAAGCGCACGCAGGUGGCUGAGUCAGUCGAUUGUGAAAGCCCUGGGCUUAACCUGGGAAUUGCAGUCGAUACUACUCAGCUAGAGUAUGGGAGAGGGUAGUGGAAUUCCCGGUGUAGCGGUGAAAUGCGUAGAUAUUGGGAAGAACACCGAUGGCGAAGGCAGCCAUCUGGACCGACACUGACGCUGAGGCGCGAAAGCGUGGGGAGCAAACAGG